rnacentral:rRNA from 1 species
UACAGAGGGGGCAAGCGUUGUUCGGAAUUACUGGGCGUAAAGGGCGCGUAGGCGGCCUGCUAAGUCGAACGUGAAAUCCCCGGGCUCAACCCGGGAACUGCGUCCGAUACUGGCAGGCUUGAAUCCGGGAGAGGGAUGUGGAAUUCCAGGUGUAGCGGUGAAAUGCGUAGAUAUCAAGCGGAACACCAGUGGCGAAGGCGAGUCCCUGGACAACUCCUGACACUGAGGCACGAAAGCUAGGGGAGCAAACAGG